rnacentral:rRNA from 1 species
AGUGCCUACGGGACGCAGCAGUGGGGAAUAUUGCACAAUGGGGGAAACCCUGAUGCAGCGACGCCGCGUGAGUGAGGAAGUAUUUCGGUAUGUAAAGCUCUAUCAGCAGGGAAGAAAAUGACGGUACCUGACUAAGAAGCCCCGGCUAACUACGUGCCAGCAGCCGCGGUAAUACGUAGGGGGCAAGCGUUAUCCGGCUUUACUGGGUGUAAAGGGAGUGUAGGCGGGAAAGGAAGUCAGAAGAGAAAAAU